rnacentral:rRNA from 1 species
UACGUAGGUGGCAAGCGUUGUCCGGAUUUACUGGGCGUAAAGAGCGCGCAGGCGGCUGGGCAAGUCCGAUGUGAAAGCUUCCGGCUUAACUGGAAAAUUGUAUCGGAAACUGCUCGGCUUGAAGGUGGGAGAGGGUAGCGGAAUUCCCGGUGUAGUGGUGAAAUGCGUAGAUAUCGGGAGGAACACCAGUGGCGAAGGCGGGCUACCUGGCCCACUCUUGACGCUGAGGCGCGAAAGCUAGGGGAGCAAACGGG